ensembl:lncRNA
GUCCUGUUUAGAGCCGUCCAGCCACAGCUGACGCUGGGAAACAUUCCUGAAUGAAUUAAGAACAGCCGGGGAGAAAGCGGAGUCGGGUGGAGGCGAAAGACCAGCGGCAGGUGGACAGAGGGAGGAAGGACAGAGAGGAGGGGUCGCCCCCACAAGGGCCAGGCCGGGAGUCUGGAGGAGCCCCCUGCCGGGAAUGCAGCUGGGGAAAGAGGUUAUUAGGUGCAGUCCUGAGAACGGGGCAGGGAUGAGAGGCAGGGAAUUUGUUACUCGAAAACUGGGCUCGACUCGGUGGACGUUGCGCCAAGAGACACAGUCAAGCCAAACAGCGGGAGAAGGAAGCAUUUAUUACUUGCAGCAAUUCGCUCUGUUUUUCUUCACCCUUGCCUUCCAUUCUGGGAGGGAAGAUCCACCUCAACAGGGUGGGCUCCUCUCACGAGCCCACCUCCGGCGGCCCCCUCCCUCGGACCUUGCCAAGACACCGAGACGAGCUCCAGGACAGGACUCUCCACUUGCCUUCUGGACUGACAUCCACACACUGGCCCACAUUUCAUCCCUCAGUUGCAAGGGAAGCAGCUGGAGCAGAAGGCUUUGUUUGGGUUCCUGUCCCAGCCUCCCUCACUGAUCUAUCGAUCUAUUGCAAAUCAAAAAGCAGCGUCUUGGUUCCUUCUCCUCAGACCCGGAUAACUAUCUAGAAGAAUUCAAGUAUCUUACUCAGUCCUACAACUUAACCUGGCAUGAUAUUUACAUCAUCCUUUCCUCCACCUCCUCCCAGAAGAGAAGGAACAAGUAUGGCCAACCUCCCGGCUGCAAGCUGAUGAGAUACACAGGGCUGACGACACAAAGCCUGUAGGGGUCACGGCUGUCCCCUCCCAGAGAUGAUCCUGGGAUUAUCAGGCAGGGAGACCUGGGCCAGCAGCCUGUCAUCACGUGGUUGCUUGCCUCAUUGUAGGCCUUCAAAAGGCAGAACAUAAAGCUAUCAUCUUUGAUAAGCUUUGGCUAAUAAUUCAAGGGCUAGACGAAAACCCGGCACAAUUUCUAGCCAGGCUAACGGAAGCCCUACAAAAAUAUACAAGAUUUGAUCCCAUUUCAGCAGAGGGCACCAUUGUCCUUAUCACCCACUUUAUCUCCCAAUCGUCCCCAGACAUCUGAAAGAAACUAAAAAAGGCAGAAGGCCCUCAACCCCCUCAACAAGACCUUUUAAAUUUAGCCUUUAAGGUUUUCAAUAAUCGGGAAAAACAGGCAAAGCUAGAGAAGGCCCAACGAGAUCAGGCCAAAUACCACCUUUUAGCCACUGCCCUCCAUGGCUCCAAAUUUCCAUCAACCAACAAAGGCAGGAAGCCGUGUGGGCCCUGCUUCAAAUGCGGCAAAGAAGGCCACCGGGCCCACUCACGUCUAAAGCCAAGGCCCCCUCCAGGCCCGUGUCCCAGCUGUGGCACAAAGGGACAUUGGAAGGUUGGCUGCCCAAAUCCCCCUUAGGGAUCCGGACAUCCCCUCCUGGUCUCGAGCAGCAGUCCUCUGACCCAGCUCUGCCCAGCCUCCUUGGACCCGCCGUUGAGGAUUAGAGGUGCCCAGGGCUCCAGGCCCCGACUCUUGCCACCUCUAAGGAGCCCAGGGUAACUCUCACAGUGGCAGGGCUGCUUACAAGGCUCCACCAGCCGAACUAUCCACAAGCUACUUCUAACUCACUCAAAUUAUCAAAAUCUUCGACCCCACACAGAUCCCCUUGACCCACAUUCCAGCCUUUUCUUAUCUCAUCCCCACGAUGCCCCUGUCCCGAAGGAAGCAGUUACAGAAGACUGACCGUUGGCCCUUAUCCUAAAUCAAAAAGGCUGGAAUGAUAGGGUCUAC